AUUGAACGCUGGCGGCAGGCCUAACACAUGCAAGUCGAACGAGUGGCGGACGGGUGAGUAAUGUCUGGGAAACUGCCCGAUGGAGGGGGAUAACUACUGGAAACGGUAGCUAAUACCGCAUACCAUCGGAUGUGCCCAGAUGGGAUUAGCUAGUAGGUGGGGUAACGGCGCACCUAGGCGACGAUCCCUAGCUGGUCUUAGAGGAUGACCAUCAACACUUGUACUAGGACCGGGUCCAGACUCGUACGGGAGGCAGCAGUGAGGAAUAUUGGACAUUGGGCGGAAGCCUGGUGCAGCCAUGCCGCGUGUAUGAAGAAGGCCUUCGUGUUGUAAAGUACUUUCAGCGAGGAGGCGUUACUCGCAGAAGAAGCACCGGCUAACUCCGUGCCAGCGGCCGCGGUAAUAC
rnacentral:rRNA from 1 species